UAAAAUGUGAUGACCGGGAGAAGUACACAAUGCUUUCCUUUCAGAGAGGUUGCUUCCAGGCUGUAAGAGCAACCAUGGCAAUGCGCGUGGAAAUGCACCCGGGAGCAGAACAGCGGAACUAGUGCCUGCGCACUGACAGUAUGUUGUUCCGGAUGGGUCCGUUACGCCUGGUAAGCGGGGAAGGAUAUCUUCCCAAGCAGAGUGGAACCGCGGUCCAUCGUCUCUGUA
rnacentral:ncRNA from 1 species